AACGAACGCUGGCGGCGUGCCUAACACAUGCAAGUCGAGGGAGAAAGCCCGCAAGGGCGAGUAAACCGGCGAACGGGUGCGUAACACGUGGAUAAUCUACCUCGGUGACCGGGACAACUGGCCGAAAGGCUUGCUAAUACCGGAUGAGCCCACGACGUCUUUGGACGUUGAGGGAAAAGGCGGCCUCUGCAUGCAAGCUGUCACAUCGAGAUGAGUCCGCGGCCCAUCAGCUAGUUGGCGGGGUAAAGGCCCACCAAGGCGACGACGGGUAGCUGGUCUGAGAGGAUGAUCAGCCACACUGGAACUGAGACACGGUCCAGACUCCUACGGGAGGCAGCAGUGGGGAAUCUUGCGCAAUGGGCGAAAGCCUGACGCAGCAACGCCGCGUGUGUGAUGAAGGUCUUCGGAUCGUAAAGCACUGUCGCGAGGGAAGAGACGCUUCUGGCCAACACCCGGAAGCAGAGAC
rnacentral:rRNA from 1 species